UACGAAGGGGGCUAGCGUUGCUCGGAAUCACUGGGCGUAAAGGGUGCGUAGGCGGGUCUUUAAGUCAGGGGUGAAAUCCUGGAGCUCAACUCCAGAACUGCCUUUGGUACUGAAGAUCUUGAGUCCGGGAGAGGUGAGUGGAACUGCGAGUGUAGAGGUGAAAUUCGUAGAUAUUCGCAAGAACACCAGUGGCGGAGGCGGCUCACUGGCCCGGUACUGACGCUGAGGCACGAAAGCGUGGGGAGCAAACAGG
rnacentral:rRNA from 1 species